AGUCGAGCGGUAACAGGAGUAGCUUGCUACUCGCUGACGAGCGGCGGACGGGUGAGUAACGCGUAGGAAUCUGCCUAAUAGUUGGGGAUAGCCCGGGGAAACCCGGAUUAAUACCGAAUACGCUCUACGGAGGAAAGCAGGGGAUCUUCGGACCUUGCGCUAUUAGAUGAGCCUGCGUGAGAUUAGCUAGUUGGUGAGGUAAUGGCUCACCAAGGCGACGAUCUCUAGCUGGUCUGAGAGGAUGAUCAGCCACACUGGGACUGAGACACGGCCCAGACUCCUACGGGAGGCAGCAGUGGGGAAUAUUGCACAAUGGGCGCAAGCCUGAUGCAGCCAUACCGCGUGUGUGAAGAAGGCCUUAGGGUUGUAAAGCACUUUCAGUAGUGAGGAAAGGGGUGUAGUUAAUACCUGCAUCCUGUGACGUUAGCUACAGAAGAAGCACCGGCUAAUUCCGUGCCAGCAGCCGCGGUAAUACGGAAGGUGCGAGCGUUAAUCGGAAUUACUGGGCGUAAAGCGCGCGUAGGUGGUUCAGUCAGUCAGAUGUGAAAGCCCCGGGCUCAACCUGGGAACUGCACCUGAUACUGCUGGACUUGAGUACGGUAGAGGGUAGUGGAAUUUCCUGUGUAGCGGUGAAAUGCGUAGAUAUAGGAAGGAACACCAGUGGCGAAGGCGACUACCUGGACCGAUACUGACACUG
rnacentral:rRNA from 1 species